rnacentral:rRNA from 1 species
GCGAAAGCGUGGGGGAUCAAACAGGAUUAGAUCACCCUGGUAGUCCACGCCGUAAACGAUGAGUGCUAAGUGUUAGGGGGUUUCCGCCCCUUAGUGCUGCAGCUAACGCAUUAAGCACUCCGCCUGGGGAGUACGACCGCAAGGUUGAAACUCAAAGGAAUUGACGGGGACCCGCACAAGCGGUGGAGCAUGUGGUUUAAUUCCAAGCAACGCGAAGAACCUUAC